GCACCUGCCACCACGCCUGGCUAAUUUUUUGUAUUUUUAGUAGAGACAGGAUUUCCCCAUGUUAGCCAGGAUGGUCUCGAUCUCCUGACCUCAUGAUCCGCCUGCCUCGGCCUCCCAAAGUGCUGGGAUUACAGGCGUGAGCCACCACACCCAGCCCCGAUUCUCUUACUCAGAGAUAAGAAAGCAGAAUUCCAGAGAGAUUAUCAUCAUGAGUGGGUGUCAGCAGGUGGACCAUGAUAAGAUGUCCUUCCCCCCGUUCUUCCCCAUGAGAACCCGGUAGUAAAGGGAGUGAGGUCCAGGGCUUCGGCAGUAAAGGGAGUGAGGUCCAGGGCGUUGGAUAGUUUCUGGGGUUCCACUGAAACUAUUAGCAUAUGGCCUCUGACCAUAAGAAAUCUACAAUUACAGGUACAUUUGUCAAUUUAUCCAUUCAGCAAACAUCUAGGAAGCACCCAUUCUAGACUAAAUAUUGCAUAAGCCUUGCAGAUGAAACAGUAUUCAAAAGGAAAUCAUUAUUUGGAAAUCACAUACAGCUAUGUAAAUAAAAUUUUACAGUACAAUGUAAUAAGUGCAAGGGGAAAGGGCAGAAUGAAAAAAAAUGCUGAAGAUCCAGCUUUGGAUAGGCAGUGUUAGACAUUUAAAAAUUGAGUACAUCUUCAGAUGUAGCGUCUUAUUUUAAAUUCUCCUUACGCAAAUGCGAACUGAGCUCUGAGAUGAAAUGAGUUUCCAAAGUCACACGGCGAGUACACAGGAGAGGUGGGCUUGGAAAAGAUCCUCUUCCGACUCUCCAGGAGCUGGUGAACCACAGCCUGUGAGCCGAAUUCAGCCCACCGCCUGCUUUUGACCCUUGAGCUCUGAGUAUUCUUCACGUUUUUAAAUGGCUGAAACAAAUGUACUAUUUUGUGACAUAUGAAAAUGAUGUAACAUUCAAAUUUAGUGUCUAUAAGUAAAGUUUCUUUGAUACACAGUCAGUUGCACCUUCUCGUGUCUCGUCUACGGCUUCUCUUGAACUAUGACAGCAGAGUUGAGUGCCUGCAGCAGGGACAGUGUGGCCCCCAAAGCCUGAACUAUUGACUACCUGGCCCUCCUCGGGUAAAGUUUGCCAAUCCCUGUACAGUGUCAUGCCGACUGAAGCUACCUGCUUCAGAGCGAGGUGCUGACCUUGAGCUGGAUGUUUAGUGGUGUCUUUAAGGACAGAGAAGGCAGAAACGGUGCUCCAGGCCGAGAAAGGAUAGAUGCGAGAAAGGGGAACGUGCUCUGGAAAGGAGGAACGGUUCCGUGUGUGAAGAGAAGGGGACGUUGAUGAAGUUGGAGAGGUAGGUGGGGCUGGGUGGUUGAGGCCGGGCCAGAGUUUACAGGCAGGACAGGUGACCGUGAGUCCCAGAGGUUCACUGAGCUUCAGAGUCGCCCAGAUUUGCAUGUCAGAAACAUCUCUAUUACCUAUUCCUUGUAAAUUUCUAGCAUACUGAACAUAACCUGUAUGGAGAAGAGCAUACAAAGUAAAUAUUCUCUCAAAACAGUUAUUUUGGGGGCAGAGAAGUGAUAGGGAAACAACAUAAAUGUUGAAUAAUGGGGAAAAAGCUGAUACUAAAUAAAGCAAAGUUCUGUUUCAAUGUGCAAUAUGAGGUUCUCAAAUAAUGAUAUGGAGGAAGUUCUUACUAUAAUUAAAAACAGAUAUAGGCUGGGCGCGAUGGCUCACGCCUGUAAUCCCAGGACUUUGGGAGGCCGAGGCUGACGGAUCACCUGAGGUCAGAAGUUCGAGACCAGCCUGGCCAACAUGGUAAAACCCCGCCUCCACUAAAAACACAAAAAUUAGCCAGGCAGGGUGGCGGGUGCUUGCAGUCCCAGCUGCUUGGGAGGCUGAGGCAGGAGAGUCACUUGAACCUGGGAGGCGGAGGUUGCAAUGAGCUGAGAUCGUGCCAUUGCACUCCAGCCUGGGCGACAGAGUGAGGCUCCAUCUCAAAACAACAACAACAAAAAGAUACAAAACAGUAGUAUAUGUGUUUUGGUCUCGACUGGGGACAGAGAAAGGCGGUUCUUUCAUGUUCAUGCCCCAACCUGAACACAUGUAGAGAGACUGGUCUCCACCCUCCCAUGCUCUUGGACUCCUGCUAGCCAAGCUCGCACCUCUUAAGCAGGACUGGGGGACUCCGAAUGGCUCUAGUCGAGAGCAAAGACCUCAAGUACUGGCGUUUUCCCACCUCCCCCAAGAAAAAGCUGGCUUGCCUGUGGGUCACCCCGCAGUAAGUCUUGCUUGUCAGGCCGUGCAGCCACAGAGCUUCCUGUUAGCUUCUGUGUGUUUCAUGUUUUUUAUUUUUAUUUUCUAUGUGUAAUAUAUCCAUGUAAGAGUGUCUCAUGUUUAAAAAUGAGCAAAGGGCCAAGCAUUAGCA
rnacentral:lncRNA from 1 species